CAUCCCUCUGACGUAAGAGCGUAUCUCUAUUUCCACAUGAGCACAUGAGUGUUUUUACGGAUAAAACCGAGAUUUUAGUCCCUAAUCGAAAAAUUGAGUCUACUGGUUUCAUCUCGUACCCAGAAUUCAUUGCGCAAAAGCUGCAAAUCCAUCUUAAUCAGUGGCAGUUCUUGAAAGUCGGCAACACUGUUUUUCCAUUUAAAUGUAUGUAAAACAAUCGGUUCUCGGCGAGGCAGCGUGCCUUACCUAAAAUCGAUAUUUUUAAUAUAUUUAAAUGGAGAAAAAAAAACAGUGUUGCCAACUCGCAAAACCGUCCCUGACCUUAGAGCCUUUCCCCAAAAUGACACAACACGACGAGUUGAGUUGUUUCAUAUCACUGAAUCCUUGAGGGCUAUUCUGCCGUGCUAAGGAAGAACGCCGUAUGAGCCUUAAGACGUUGCCAAGUUUCUUCCAAUAAAAACCGAAUUUACUGGAAAAAUUGUGAAUAUUAUUUUCUAAAAUUUUCAGACAAUUUCAUACGCGAUUUAAUCUACAAUAUAUGAAAAUCUCGAGGAAAAAUGUGCAUGGAUGUCGUCAAAAAUAUAUGUUUUAUCAGGGGAAAUUUGGCAACUCUCAAAUGUCCUUUCGGCGUUUUCCCUUAGCACGGCAGUAUUUUUUUUUUUUUUUUUUUUUUUUUUUUUUUUUUUUUUUUUUUUUUUUUUUUUACUACUUCAAAUACCACACAAAUGGUAAUCCUUGCGCUUCCAGUUAGAGCCCCUCCCCCUUCCAUCUCUACCAUGUACCAGCCCAAGGCAACCGUUGUUUCAAACCAUCAAACUCGGGUCGCCUAGCCGGGAAUCGAACCCGGGACCUCCUGAUUGUGGAGCCAGCGCUACAACCACUACACCACAGGAGGUCGACAUAUUGAGUAUCGUCGGUAUUGCGUGAUGCCUACCUUGUAGGUGUUGGCGUAUGAGGUGGCGACUGGAGCGUGGGCAACAGCGACUGGGGCGUGGGCGUAGCUGUAGGGUGAUGCAUACCCGUAAGCUGGGGCCGCUGGGUAGGCUGGGUAGCUGUAGGGGGCUACGUAGCCGGCUGAGGCGGCGGCGACGAGGGCGAAGAGGGCAAGAGCCUGCAACAGAGAAAUCAUCACCGUUUUCAAAAAACACAAUCGAAAUGGAAAAAGGAAAAAGGUUAAGCGCUGUCUCCGCGCGUCAAAAUGGCGUCAAAAUGGAAGCUGAAAGUGAAUCGAUUCCAACGAUAAGUGGCUCAAAGUCGGAAGUUGAUGCGAUCGAUGAGUGUUGCAGCUCAAAAUAG
rnacentral:lncRNA from 1 species